AGUUUGAUAGCUCAAUGGUAGAGCGGUUUUCUUAUACAAAACUGGUCGAUAGUUCGAUUCUAUCUCAGACUA
rnacentral:tRNA from 1 species